ACAUCAUGACCUGAGCAGAAGUCAGAGGCUUAACCGACUGAGCCACCCAGGUGCCCCAAAGUGGAUGUCAUCCAAUCUGUUGGAAGUCUGAACAGAACAAAGAUGGCAGAUGAAGGGUGAAUUGCUUUCUGCUUCAGCCAGGACAUCCAUUUUCUGCCCUCAGAUAUUGACACUCCUGGCUCUUGGACCUUUAAAGGACCUGGAGUGAAUUAUACCACCAGCUUUCCUAGUUCUUCAGCUUGAAGACAACAGAUCAUGGGACUUCUGAGUCUCCACACUUACCACUUAUGAGAAUGACUGCCAAACAGGACUGUGGCCUUAAAUCUGAUUAAAAGCAAGCAACAGUUUCAUUUUUAAACCCUUUCAUGGGCCUCACAAAAACCCUGGCAUGCUAACUUGCUAGCUUGAGCAUAUGGUAUGAUAAAUAUCAGAUGGGACUUUUUACCAGUGAAAUCAUAGCUUGUAAUCAGCACUGCAUCUUGCUACUGGUGUGAGGGGAUCCUUUGCCUUAUGCCAACUAGAAGGCUGUCGAAAUCAACCCACGGGAUGUUGCCACAUUUACCCUGAUAGAACUUUUCAUACAAGAGCUCUUAAAAUCAAGAACUGAAGUCUGGAGAGAAUCAAGGGAAGUACAAAUGUGUAAAAAUAUUGAGUGCCAGAUUUAUCACUAAUAAUUUAUUCUCUUAACACCUUGCAAAGUACACUUCCACUGUUAUUUGCAUUUUGAAGGUUAAAAAACAAAUCUAUAAACCCAUUGACUUUUAUAAACUUCUAUGUAAGAUAUCUCAACCAAAAUAAAGUUCCAUGAGAAUUUUGUUUGAGUUUUAACAACUCAUUCUUCCAUGCCCUCAUUCCUCCUACUCCACAUCCAAUACUCGUCAAAAGACAACUAAGAAAUAUGGUUAAAAUGACACCAAGAAAAAACAAUUACUUCUUAGGAAUUAUUAGGGUAAAAGUUUAGUGAGUUAAGUUACUCUUAAAUUCAUUUACUUAUAUUAUUUUCAGGUAAUAUGUCCACAUAUUUUUUAAAAUAAAAUAAAAACCUAAAAUGAUGGCCAUUGCCAUACCAAUCCCACUGUAAUUCUUGCUUCUUCAAGUCAACUCAUUUUAAGUAGUAUCAUCUGCUUUUUGUUUACUUUCCUUUUGGAAUUUAACUUCAUGUUUUUAAAUAACAUAGCAUGUAGCUUUGUAGUUUUUUUAUAGCUUUGGACUUUUAUAUAUGGACUUACUUCUAAUGGAUGAUUACAGUUUAGCUUACAUUAUACCCCUGAAAUAAAUAUACCUCUACCAAACCAAUAUAGCUCAGAUCUUAUUCAUCAACUCAUUCCAGUUGAUAUAAAGGUAUGGAAAAGUAAAUCUUAGAAUAUUAGCAAAAGAAGAUUUUGUAAAAUAGUAACCAGUAAAUAGGUAGUGGUUAUAGAUAGAGAUGGAUUUAAAUGGAAUCUACACUAAUUACAUAAACCACAGAAAUCCUAUAGUCCUGUCCAAGAUUUCUGCAAAUUUCUCAGUGCCACUUAAUACUAUAAUUCUGUAGCCUUUUGUCUAUAUUUACCUUCUACCAAAUUGAUUGCACUGAGAAACUAGGCCAUAGUUUCAUUUUCAAAAUUAAAAAGAAAAAAAAACUGUCACUGAAUAUUGAUAAGUGAAAAGCCCCUUUCUGCCUAAUUUUUGAGAUGCUUGUAUUUUCAUGAUCAGAGCAUUCUCCUUAUGGUCAUAGUCUCUCUCCCCCUAUUAUAGUACACAUAAAACAUCCUUCUCAACUUAUGAAGGAGUAUCUCCUAAAAAGCCAUCAUCAACUGAAAACAUUGUAAUUCCAAAAUACAUUUUCCACCUAUCCUACCAAACAUCACAGCUUAGCGUAGCCUAGCUUGAACAUGCUCAGAAACCUUAUAUUAGCCUAUACUUGG